AUAAGUCGAAACAGGAAAACUCGUCGGCAUUUAGGGUUUUGCAAAUUUCCGACUUCCAAGACGCCAGUCCGAUGGAAAGGUGGUACCUGCCGACGGACCGGUGCGUUUUCCGCCACCCAGCAGAUCUCCGACCGGCGAGAAGCAGCCACAGCGCUAGAAAUGGGUCUUUCAAAUCCUUACAGUAGUUAACGGGCGAUUGAACUUCGUGCAUUGACCAGGCUACUUUGGCAUGGACAGCAGGUCAUGUGUUGGCAACUAGUGGCCUGGAUGGUUCAUGGACUUCUUUCACGAUCAAUAUGGAAAAUUUUUUAUUAGGAGACCUGUCAAUUCCAUAUAUGUACUUCCGAUUGUUCAAACGACGAAGAUGUGGGAAGAUUUGGGGAUAGACACCGAGGUAGAUGAAGAUCGAGGUUCCAAGAUGCUAUGAUGGAAGAAAGAAGAACAUCGACGAUCCCUUUCUCUUUGGUUGAAUUCCCAAGGUACGACGAUCCCAUGACACAUUGCAGUUCCAGUUCUGUAGCCUGUAGGUUUGUGUAUGUCGUCUCGCUCUCGUUCUCUUUUAGCAUUUGUAUCUAAUCUUUCAUCCAUGGGAAGGGCCUGGUGAGGUCUUUCAAAUGCGAUUCACGUGGUGUGCAUUUUGUAAGCUUGUGCGUCUCCCUUGAAAAGCUAGAACUCUUUACGGUUCCGAUCUUUCAUUUGUGCACAUUGGCGCGAUCGUUAAGCUUUUUUUUAAAGGCUUCGGUCUUCGCUAAUUCUGUGUUGUCUCUCGUUGAUCUUGUGUGGCUUGCUCAUUAAGCUUCAUGCCUUUGUCAAAUUAUGGACCUAAUUGAAAUAGGAAAGUUCUAAUUUAACAUCAAACGGAGGAGAGGGUUUGAUUUCAACGGAUCCUUAGAAGCAACCACAAGGGUUUCGAUUUUAGUCGUACUUGGUCUUCUUGUAGUGUGCAUGAUUGUUGUGGGGAUGUGCCUAGGGUUCCAACCUUGACUUGUUCUGGCUUUUAAGGAUCAGGUUUAGGAAAAUCAACAAUUGAAUGAGAUCGGGCCACUUGCUUUUGUCGCCAGUGUUUCGGUCUUAUUUUUCCAGUGUUUUGGUCUUAUUUUUUUUUGUUCGGUUUCCUCACUACAGUUAUCUUUUCCUGUAUAGCACCUCACUGUCAGUUAACACUAUUUUGUGAAAAUCUCUGUGGUUAAGGGUUUCAAAAC